rnacentral:rRNA from 1 species
GGCGCACGGUGGAUGCCUUGGCACUAGAAGCCGAUGAAGGACGUUACUAACGACGAUAUGCUUUGGGGAGCUGUAAGUAAGCUUUGAUCCAGAGAUUUCCGAAUGGGGAAACCCAGCAUGAGUUAUGUCAUGUUAUCGAUAUGUGAAUACAUAGCAUAUCAGAAGGCACACCCGGAGAACUGAAACAUCUUAGUACCCGGAGGAAGAGAAAGAAAAUUCGAUUCCCUUAGUAGCGGCGAGCGAAACGGGAAGAGCCCAAACCAACAAGCUUGCUUGUUGGGGUUGUAGGACACUCUAUACGGAGUUACAAAGGACGACAUUAGACGAAUCAUCUGGAAAGAUGAAUCAAAGAAGGUAAUAAUCCUGUAGUCGAAAAUGUUGUCUCUCUUGAGUGGAUCCUGAGUACGACGGAGCACGUGAAAUUCCGUCGGAAUCUGGGAGGACCAUCUCCUAAGGCUAAAUACUCUCUAGUGACCGAUAGUGAACCAGUACCGUGAGGGAAAGGUGAAAAGCACCCCGGAAGGGGAGUGAAAUAGAACCUGAAACCGUGUGCUUACAAGUAGUCAGAGCCCGUUAAUGGGUGAUGGCGUGCCUUUUGUAGAAUGAACCGGCGAGUUACGAUUUGAUGCAAGGUUAAGCAGUAAAUGUGGAGCCGU